GAUGAACGCUGGCGGCGUGCCUAAUACAUGCAAGUCGAGCGAAUGGAUUAAGAGCUUGCUCUUAUGAAGUUAGCGGCGGACGGGUGAGUAACACGUGGGUAACCUGCCCAUAAGACUAGGAUAACUCCGGGAAACCGGGGCUAAUACCGGAUAACAUUUUGAACCGCAUGGUUCGAAAUUGAAAGGCGGCUUCGGCUGUCACUUAUGGAUGGACCCACGUCGCAUUAGCUAGUUGGGGAGGUAACGGCUCACCAAGGCAACGAUGCGUAGCCGACCUGAGUGGGUGAUCGGCCACACUAGGACUGAGACACGGCCCAGACUCCUACGGGAGGAAGCAGUAGGGAAUCUUCCGCAAUGGACGAAAGUCUGACGGAGCAACGCCGCGUGAGUGAUGAAGGCUUUCGGGUCGUAAAACUCUGUUGUUAGGGAAGAACAAGUGCUAGUUGAAUAAGCUGGCACCUUGACGGUACCUAACCAGAAAGCCACGGCUAACUACGUGCCAGCCGCCGCGGUAA
rnacentral:rRNA from 1 species